UUACGGCCAUAGCACGUUGAAACACGGGUUCUCGUACGAUCACCGAAGUCAAGCCUGGCCAGCACCUAGAUGGGUAACCGUUUAGGAAUACCAGGUGCUGUAAG